rnacentral:rRNA from 1 species
UCGAGCGCCGUAGCAAUACGGAGCGGCAGACGGGAGAGUAACACGUGGGAACGUGCCCUUCAGUUCGGAACAACCNCAUGGANACGUGGGCUGAUACCGGAUACGCCCCCCUUUCAGAAGUCAGAAAUCAGAACUCGGAAAUCGGAAUCAGAAUUCAGGAGAGAAGACUUCAGCGCGCAGCGCUGUCGAAACUUCUGAUUUCUGACUUCCGUUUUCUGACUUCCGAUGGGGGGGAAAGAUUUAUCGCUGAAGGAUCGGCCCGCGUCUGAUUAGCUAGUUGGUGGGGUAACGGCCCACCAAGGCGACGAUCAGUAGCUGGUCUGAGAGGAUGAUCAGCCUCACUGGGACUGAGACACGGCCCAGACUCCUACGGGAGGCAGCAGUGGGGAAUAUUGGACAAUGGGCGCAAGCCUGAUCCAGCCAUGCCGCGUGGGUGAUGAAGGCCCUAGGGUUGUAAAGCCCUUUCGGCGGGGAAGAUAAUGACGGUACCCGCAGAAGAAGCCCCGGCUAACUUCGUG